ACUGUUUGCUGGUCUCAGGCGAAUGGCUGGGAACAAAGUAUAUAAUCUCGUUGGUUAUUUAAUAAUGUUUGCACUUUGAAUCUGUGUACAUAGUUGCUAAAUCCAUUAUAUCUUCUUCCUGCCAGGAGAAUAUUUAUUUUUCCAAAGAUUUGUGUUGCUUUUUUUUUUAAUAAAAUAGAUUUUACUCUAUUGAGCCAUUAUGAGUAUAUAGACUUUUUUAUGU
rnacentral:lncRNA from 1 species